GGCGUAUGAAUUAUCAAGAACCAGCUUUAAAUUACAGAACAAACAAUAAUUAUACUACAAUCACAUUGUUCAUCCUUCAUCAAUCCAUACAUGAAAAUAGCAUUACAAAACCUCAUUAAAAACCCAUGAACCAAUUAUGUUCUUGAACAAAUCCACUCACAAACACAUACCAACCCCACUAAUAACCGAGACUGACACAUGCAAUCAACAGAGUAUAAAAAGUGCAGACUCAUCUCCUGCAACGAGUAAUCCUGGAACAUCCUCUAGUGUAGGGGUUAACAGGGGUUCUAGCCUUAAAACAAUUGUGGGUGUAGUAUGAUCUCCCAGAACGUGGAGGGCAAGGAAUCCUAUUAGCUGCGAGAGCUCCAUAUGAGAUAUAGUAACGUACUCUUCUCCAAAACAAAGAUCUGCGCUCUCCCAUCUUCUCAUCACCAUCCUCCUCACCAUCUAAAUCUAUAAACCCAUCACCAAACUCACCUUUCUCCUCCAAAUUACUGUACAUGGACAUCGCCAUUGGCCAUUCUAGAGCGUCCACCGUUAUCUUCAAGCCUGUUUCUUCCACUUGGGCAUGGGUAAUUGAACUGAGAGCGAGAAAGAUGAUGAAGAAGAAGAGAUAUAGAGCAGGAGCUGGAGAUGCCAUGGAGAACACAGGAGUGGGAGGUAAACGAAGCAAGAGAGAAGCUUAAGUUUAGAGAGGGGAAGAGGAAGAGUAGGGACAACAUGUCACAUUGAGAUAGCGUGAGAGAAGUGAGCAGUGAUUGGAUUACAGCUGUGCUUCAUCAAUGCAUCAAUUAACGCGUGUUCUAGGCAUCUCUGCUUACAGUACGAGCUUUGUUAGGGCAGGGGAGGGAGCAAUGAUUCUGUGCUAUCGGUCUCAAUUGAUUAAGUUUUAGGACUGCCUUUGGGAUGGCUUCUCCGUAGUUGUAUUGCAAAGUUAGGAGAUCUGAAUGGCUCUUGUGUCAGGUGAACGGUCGAGAUGUCGUAAUAUUGUGCAGUGGUGACGAAUAAGACAGCGGCACAUUCGGCGGAUUGUAUAAAAAGCCGCGGCUGGUCGGACAUGCUUGGUCCCAUCUGACGCUGUCUAGUUAUAUUAUUUCAUUUUUAAAUCUCGUGAUUGAUUCCAAUCCUUGAAAAAUGAAAUAUUUCAAUCAAUCUUAAAAAUGGGAAUGUUCAUUUUCUUUGUAAUUAAGCCAAUGAAUCUCCAAAAGUGCAGUCUUCUCUUACUGUCUGGAUUUUUGAAGAUGGGUUGACAGUUCAAACCCAAUGUAGCGAGGGGCUUCCAUAGAGUUGGCCCAAAGCAAAGAGGUAGAUGGGGCAAAUUCAGAGGCGUUGUCGGAGUUGGUCCUUAAAAGGCUGGUUGGGAAUGGGGUUUGAACAUGAAAUGGGGCUGCUUCGAUCUGUUCCAUGUCGCUCAGAAUGUAAAGUCAAUAGACUAGCUACUUGUACUCUUAUGGUCUGCCAAGCCCAGUCCUUGUAGCUAAAAGUCUAAAACCUUCACUCAACUAACUCUAUCAAUAGAUUUGGCUUUAAAAUCUUUGUGUUAGUUGAGUGAAGGCGUUAGGCUUUCAAAUAGACUAUAAGAUUGCCUCAAAAUUUU
rnacentral:misc_RNA from 1 species